GCGGGAGUGGCGGAAUUGGUAGACGCGCUAGAUUCAGGUUCUAGUGUUUGCAAAAACGUGGAGGUUCGAGUCCUCUCUUCCGCACCA
rnacentral:tRNA from 1 species